UAUUUAUUAGUGUACGAUGCACAGGAAUUUUUGACGUUCCUAGAGCGGUUUAAUUCUGCAAUAAGUAA
rnacentral:tRNA from 1 species